rnacentral:lncRNA from 1 species
AAAUUAUUUACUCAUUCUGCAGGAGCGAGCAUUGGGAAUCCCUCUUCCAGUCCUUGCCUGGCUCUUCCAGCUGUGCCCGCUGCAGCCCAGCACAGCAAGAUCCCAGGCAGAGAUGACAAGCUUUUUCUGCAGAUGAAAGGAGCACCCGGCGUAGCUCUGUCAGAGGAACAAGUACCUUCCCAGAGCUUGUGAGCAGAAGAAAAUGGA